AGUGAACGCUGGCGGUAGGCCUAACACAUGCAAGUCGAACGGCAGCACAGUAAGAGCUUGCUCUUACGGGUGGCGAGUGGCGGACGGGUGAGGAAUACAUCGGAAUCUACUUUUUCGUGGGGGAUAACGUAGGGAAACUUACUCUAAUACCGCAUACGACCUACGGGUGAAAGCAGGGGAUCUUCGCACCUUGCGCGAUUGAAUGAGCCGAUGUCGGAUUAGCUAGUUGGGGGGGUAAAGGCCCACCAAGGCGCCGAUCCGUAGCUGGUCUGAGAGGAUGAUCGGCGACACUGGAACUGAGACACGGUCCAGACUCCUACGGGAGGCAGCAGUGGGGAAUAUUGGACAAUGGGCGCAAGCCUGAUCCAGCCAUACCGCGUGGGUGAAGAAGGCCUUCGGGUUGUAAAGCCCUUUUGUUGGGAAAGAAAAGCAGCAGGUUAAUACCCCGCUGUUCUGACGGUACCCAAAGAAUAAGCACCGGCUAACUUCGUG
rnacentral:rRNA from 1 species